AGUUUCCGGUAGACCCGGAAGCCGAUCGCAUGGAGGAACUGUUUCGUAGCAGCGCGCCUCCCUUUCCCAGCCACUGGUUCUCCUGACCCCGAAUGUGGGGAGUGACUUCAGUCUCCUGACAUCCAGUGUUCUCUCGAGCCAGCUUCCAGCCCACCGAAAAUGAGCUUUUCCGGAGAUGGGCAUCUUAUUCCAAUCCCCUCCCUGUGAAUGUGUGGAGAAGAAGAGAUGGGAACGAGUCAGAGGAAAUAGAGAAAUUUUGAAAGAGAAAUGAAGAAUGAGAGAACCAUUGACAGACGGCAAAGUAGAAGGUUCACAAAUUUUAAGAAAGGGAGAAUAAAGUGGAGAAAUCUCAGAGGGAAUCCACUCAACAGAUGAGGAUUCACUUCCAAAGAGACAUAUUAUGCAAGGAAGCAACUCGGAAAACGAAAGAGAAGGAGUCAGGAAUGGCCCUUACUCAGAGUCUUGCUUUGUUGCCCAGACUGGAGUGCAGUGGCAUGAUCCCUGCUCAUUGCAACCUCCGCCUCCCAGGUUCAAAGGUUUCUUCCACCUCAGCCUCUCGUGUAGCUGGGAUUACAGG